rnacentral:rRNA from 1 species
ACUCAAAGGAAUUGACGGGGGCCCGCACAAGCGGCGGAGCAUGUGGCUUAAUUCGACGCAACGCGAAGAACCUUACCAGGGCUUGACAUGCGGGGUGAAGCCGUCGAAAGACGGUCCUCCUUCGGGAGCCCGCACAGGUGCUGCAUGGCUGUCGUCAGCUCGUGCCGUGAGGUGUUGCCUUAAGUGGCGCAACGAGCGCAACCCCUAUCCCAUGUUGCCAGCGAGUCAUGUCGGGGACUCAUGGGGGACUGCCGGUGCCAAACCGGAGGAAGGUGGGGAUGAGGUCAAGUCAUCAUGGCCCUUAUGUCCUGGGCUGCACACAUGCUACAAUGCUUGCUACAAAGGGAAGCAAUUCCGCAAGGAGGAGCGAAUCCCAAAAAGGCAAGCUCAGUUCGGAUCGGGGUCUGCAACUCGACCCCGUGAAGUCGGAGUCGCUAGUAAUCGCAGAUCAGCAACGCUGCGGUGAAUACGUUCCCGGGCCUUGUACACACCGCCCGU